UACGAAGGGGGCUAGCGUUGCUCGGAAUGACUGGGCGUAAAGGGCGCGUAGGCGGAUGGCACAGUCAGAUGUGAAAUUCCCGGGCUUAACCUGGGGGGCUGCAUUUGAUACGUGUGAUCUAGAGUGAGGAAGAGGGUCGUGGAAUUCCCAGUGUAGAGGUGAAAUUCGUAGAUAUUGGGAAGAACACCGGUGGCGAAGGCGGCGACCUGGUCCUUGACUGACGCUGAGGCGCGAAAGCGUGGGGGAGCAAACAGG
rnacentral:rRNA from 1 species